AAAAUAAUGAUAUUUCAAUAAAUUAUAUGUUAUCUCAUAAAUUAUGAAAACGAAAUAAUGUUGUUAUAGACAAUAUUUUCACUUUUAACGUGGUUCUUGAUAUUAUACAGAAUGAGGAUUCUAAACCACAGUCGAUUAAAGAUUGUCAAAAUAGAAAUGAUUGGUCAAAAUAGAAAGAAGUUAUACAGGAGGAAUUGAAUUCUUUGAAGAAACGAAAAGUGUUUGGGCCUGUAAUUCGAACAUCUGAAAAUGUAAUCCCUAUUGGAUAUAAAUGAAUUUUUUGUAUGAAAGAGGAAUAAAAAUAAUUAAAUUACAAGGUACAAAGCCCAACUAGUAGCUCAAGGUUUUUCACAAAGACCAGGAAUUGAUUACGAGAAAACAUAUUCUCCUGUAAUGGACACCAUCACUUUUAGAUUCUUAAUUAGUUUGACCGUAUUACAAAAACUUGAUAUACGCCUUAUGGAUGUAAUAACUGCAUAUUUGUAUGGUUCACUUGAUAGUGACAUAUAUAUGAAAGUCCCGAAAGGACUUAAGAUACUAGGAACAAACGAUGCAUGCCCGAAAAUUAUGUUCUCAAUUAAAUUGCAAUGAUCAUUAUAUGGAUUAAAACAAUCCGGACGUAUGCCGUAUAAUCGUCUUAGUGAAUAUUUGUUGAAUGUGGAAUAUAAAAAUGACGAUGUUUGCCUAUGUAUUUUCAUAAAGAAAACAAAUAGUAAAUUUACAAUUAUGACAAUUUAUGUUGAUGAUUUAAAUUUAAUUGGAACUCCUAAAGAACUCAACAAAAUUGUUGAUUAUUUGAAAAAUAAAUUUGAGUGAAAGAUUUGGAAAAAAUCAAAUUUUGUCUUGGAUUGCAGAUUGAACAUUUCGUAGAUAAAUUAUUUGUUCACCAAUCUACGUAUACAAAAAUAGUUUUAAAACGUUUUUAUAUGAAUAAUGCACAUCCAUUAGCAUCACAUAUGGUUGUUCGAUCACUUGAUGUGAAAAAAGAUCCAUUUCGUCCACUUGAAAAUGGAGAAAAAGUUAUUGAUCCUGAAAUAC
rnacentral:lncRNA from 1 species